rnacentral:rRNA from 1 species
CCGGAGGGCGCGGCAUACACAUGCAGUCGAACGGUAACAGGAAGCAGCUUGCUGCUUCGCUGACGAGUGGCGGACGGGUGAGUAAUGUCUGGGAAACUGCCUGAUGGAGGGGGAUAACUACUGGAAACGGUAGCUAAUACCGCAUAACGUCGCAAGACCAAAGAGGGGGACCUUCGGGCCUCUUGCCAUCGGAUGUGCCCAGAUGGGAUUAGCUAGUAGGUGGGGUAACGGCUCACCUAGGCGACGAUCCCUAGCUGGUCUGAGAGGAUGACCAGCCACACUGGAACUGAGACACGGUCCAGACUCCUACGGGAGGCAGCAGUGGGGAAUAUUGCACAAUGGGCGCAAGCCUGAUGCAGCCAUGCCGCGUGUAUGAAGAAGGCCUUCGGGUUGUAAAGUACUUUCAGCGGGGAGGAAGGGAGUAAAGUUAAUACCUUUGCUCAUUGACGUUACCCGCAGAAGAAGCACCGGCUAACUCCGUGCCAGCAGCCGCGGUAAUACGGAGGGUGCAAGCGUUAAUCGGAAUUACUGGGCGUAAAGCGCACGCAGGCGGUUUGUUAAGUCAGAUGUGAAAUCCCCGGGCUCAACCUGGGAACUGCAUCUGAUACUGGCAAGCUUGAGUCUCGUAGAGGGGGGUAGAAUUCCAGGUGUAGCGGUGAAAUGCGUAGAGAUCUGGAGGAAUACCGGUGGCGAAGGCGGCCCCCUGGACGAAGACUGACGCUCAGGUGCGAAAGCGUGGGGAGCAAACAGGAUUAGAUACCCUGGUAGUCCACGCCGUAAACGAUGUCGACUUGGAGGUUGUGCCCUUGAGGCGUGGCUUCCGGAGCUAACGCGUUAAGUCGACCGCCUGGGGAGUACGGCCGCAGGUAAUCUAAAUAAAAUAUAAAAAAAAAAAAAAAAAACCUAUAGUGUGAUAUAAAGGGCAGAUUUGAGUUGAGUGGAAAUUGACUUGGGGGGUAGGUUGGUGAAUGGAUCAGGCGUCAGGGGAGUUGAGGGGUGGAAGUAUGUUAACAGGGUGGGUGGAGAUUCUUAUAGAAAUAAGGGUUAGGGAGGAAGUUAGAAAUGGGUCCGGAGCAGGUGGAGUGUGAUGUUGAGCGGGGACUUGGGCAGUGGAACUUAUGGCGAUGAGGGAAUAUGCGGGAGGAGUGAGGGCGGUGGUGAAGUAGAGAGGGGGGGGAGGAUGAGGAGGAGGCUGAGAGGGGGUGAUUGAGGUAUGUGUGGCGGUACGCGUGGAACGCAGGAGAUAGGGGGAGAGCAAGCGGUGGGAGAUGGUGAAGGAUUGACGAUUGGACGGGGAUUUGUAGCACAGAGUGAGUUGAUGAGGGGGUAGAGGUGAGAGAAGGGUGUAUCUAGAUUGGGUUUGAUACAAAGGGAUGAGGAGGUCGCUUGUGGAGGGG